GCGAAGGUGGCGGAACGGCAGACGCGCUAGUUUCAGACGCUAGUGGUUAAUUCUCGUGUGGGUUCAAAUCCCAUCCUUCGCA
rnacentral:tRNA from 1 species